GGCUCGUUUCCAUCGGCGGGCCUGGAGGACAGGCGCGGGACCACCGGUCGAGCGCGUCUCGGGGCGGCGGCGGCGGCUUGGCCGUGGUGGCAGUGGCAGAUUUCCAACCGCCUCCGCGUCUCCGCUCACAUGCGAAGCCAUUGCUAUUCACCUCCGGACGGGCGAGGAAGAACGCGGCGUUGGAUUUUCGCAGGAGGAUAUGCUCAGUGAAAGAACCGCCUUCUCUCACCUGUCAAAAAAAAAGAACUGCCUUCUCUCGGCGAAUCCAACAAAUUUCUGCAGUGAAAUUGGGCACGGGUCGCCUCCGAACUUGGCAGGCCGUACCGGAAUCGCGCACUUCCUUCUGCCUAGGCAAGCCUGAAGCAAUAAAACAAGCACCCAAGUUUUUAGGAUUGCAGUGGUAAUAGGAUAGUGCAUUAUGAUAUCAGCAUGUAACUUCUGGAAGGACAGAGGGCUUUACAUCCUUUACGACAAACUCCGUUGUCUCUGCGUGGCAACUCCCGAGGCAGCUCCUGCUAGAGCUUCUGCAGUCCUCAGCCGGAUUUCCGUAGCUCGCAAACUCAAUAUCCGUGAUGCGUUUGCCUUGCUGACACCGGAGCCGAACUGCUGGGUGCUUUCUGCGUGACAAGAGUGAUGGGGUGGAUAACUCAUUCACACUACUGUAUACUCGGGUAACCGACAUUGUGUUCACGCUUAUCUGUAGCGGAUCACCACCCAUUUCCUCCAUGAGGACGAGGGUGUUCUCUCUAGGCUUCAGAAAGUAUUGUGGUACGUGGUACCUUCAGAAAAGACAAGCGAAUGAGACAUCAGUUGCUGUUCAUCAUUCGAGUUCAAGAAAGGAAUUUGUGUUGUUAGUAGUAAAACUAGUUAUAGUACUGACAAGGACUGGGAUGGUUGUCCGCUAGGGGUUUUGAAGGAGGCCCAAUACCGUCCGAUGCUCUCUCCAUUGAUCCACACCUCACCCUUCCCCAUACUGCUGAGGUUCAGCGUGACUGGGUCAUUCCCCCAUGGUGUGUCAAAUGUCGUCUGCACCAAAUGACGACAAUUUCCCAAAGCUGUCGGUUACUGUCACUGUGGAAUAAACAUGUAAUUGAAGUCUGUCAGGAAUUAAAGACUUAUGUACAUUUGAUGUACCUUGUACCAGAUAAGUGGAAGGUGCAUGGACUUAUUGAUGGCAGUCCAUUGCGCACGAGAUGAUCCUUCCGGUGUGUAUAUAUUAUUCAUUUCUCCAGAUAAGCCAAUCUGCACAAAGCUCAUUAUUCAGAGAAUGUGAUUUGUGAUCUCCCUGUUGUAUGCUCACUUUACGAACUCCAAAAAUUCUUCGCUCCAUGUACGCUCCAGAGUCCUUUACUUGUUAGAGUAAAACUCAGUCCAUUGCAAAUAGUAGGUCUGCAAUGGCUGAAGAACUGAGGGUAGUUGGCUCACCUUGGCUGUUUCAAAUACUACCCUCCUGCAACUUGAGAGGAUACUUAUUGAUUUAGGAGCUAGCUGGAAUGAUGCUUCACCAAAUUGGAUAUUUGAUGUUUUAUGCUUGUCCAAGUUCACUAGGAAAGCCACACAGUUGGACUCAGUUUCAAAAACAUGUCCCUGUAGUACGCCAAAAGUUAGCCGCAUAAUUUUACUGAAAAAAAAGUAUACCUAGUUUCCUUUCACUCUGCACACAAAUUCACCUCUUGUUGCUCACCAAAUGAGUAAGUAGAAUAUGAUCCUGAAAGUAGUGGUUCUUCAGAUUGCUUUACUGCAGCAUGCAAUUCUCUCAGAUGAGACCAUGUUGAUUGCCAUAUUAAACCUGGAUGUAUGCUUGGUAGUUCAAACAUCAAUAUGUAUAUAUUUAAUCAAUUAUCGUGUUCUCCAAAAUUAGUGUUUUCAAGAUCUUCCAUUGAUGUAGAUUUCACAGAUCAUCAGUUUCUAACUAGACAUGUUACAUGGUUUGAUUUUAUGUGCCUUCCUGGUGGAGUAUGCUCAUGUUAUAAUAUUUAAUUUACAAGAAUUUUGAAUAGUCGCUUUUAAAAUAUGUCAAAGAUAGCUUGCAACGGUAGAAAUACUUGCCAUAUUCGUCAAGUGGAGCUCCAUCAUAGUAGCUUGUUGUUACAUAGGAGGAUGCAAACCUCCCGAAGUUUGUCCCGCCAUGAUACUGCAUCAUAAUCCGUAAUUGUAUGAGAUCAUGAAUGAAAUACUAAACAUAUUUACUGAGAGAUCUUAGGGAAGCUUCUUAAAGUUUCCUUGUAAGCUGUACCAUGUAGUAGCUUACAAAGCUUCCUUUUUUUCUUGCUAUAAAAAGUGCAACUGCAAAGGCAAUAUCUGCUGGUGAUCUGUAUCUUGGGUCAUGACCAUAUAAAGGAUAGCUGUAUGCAGAGAAACUUGCAAUGUUAGGCCUUAUAUGGUUAUACCCCUGGGAAUGUGAAAGAUCCUCAGAGAAAAAGCAAAGAGUGUUUGUCGCACCGAGAUGUCCAAUUUUCGGUCCAUAAAGCUGGCUUGUUUGGCUUAUUUGGCCCAAUAAAUGUUUCCCCGCAGAUGAGCCCGUUGCAGGUAUUAAUCUAACCAUGUAAUAAAUGUUACACUGCUUUCAAAUUGUGGAUAAUCUGCAAUCCUGCAUAAUGGUAUAAGAAAGGGCACUGACGAUGGGAUCUGGAGCAUCGUCUUGUUUGCACAUCAUCCAUGGAACGCCGGUCUGAAGGUUUACAGCCAUUGCUGCUGCCCAGCGAACAUAAGGUGGUCCCCUUGAAUGAAAUGCUCCCUCGACUAGCUUAUAUUCGUUCUCGAUCUGCAUUUUAAAUUUUAGGGUUGCACAAAAAGAUCAGCUAAUACAGAGCACGAGGGUCAAGUAUUGUUCAACUGAAAUACCUGUGAUAUGAUUAUGGGACCUCCUUGUGGAUAGUAUAAUUUUUCAUCCUUCAUCAUGUUAACUAUUUUAGCAACAAACUUUUGCAUAUGUACCUGCACGUAUUCAAUAUUUAAGUACGAUUCAUCUACCAUGAUAGUUUAGCAUGACGUAAUGUCGCUCUAUGGUGCUUGUGCAGUUAGGAUUACACGGACAAUUCAUAAUCUGGUUUUGCAAACCAAACAGUCUAUAUUCUUGUAGAUGCAUCUUUUCAGUUUUCUUGCACUGUUUGUUUCUGGCAGUGAGGUUGGUAAGUCUGUAUCACUGUAUGCAAUAUACUACUCUCACCUCAUAUAUAGUCUGGCCUCAUAGACAUCUGUUUUCACCUAUGUAUUAUGAUUUUACCUCACAAUCAUUUGUCAUUUCAUUUGUGCUUGCUUAAAAUGCAUCCUGUGGCUAUUUUGGUUAUGCUAAUGGGUUUCUGAGGGUAGUAUGAUGUUUUACAAGCUAGAACUACGAUGAAAAAAUAUUCUGAAUAUUUGGUAAUACUAUAACUCAUUUUACCAUGUGAACAGAGGAUUGAAGGAAACAAGAAAUUAUAUUUCUAUUCUGAAUAAUCCCGCUGCAGCAAGAUUCUGUAUGUUAUAUGGUUGACCAUAUCAUUGUUCUAGGCUUCAAAGGCACUGUGUUGGGUAGUUGAUACCUUGUAGGGUUCAUUGUCGCAUCUGAAGGUAAUGUUUGGGACACCGCGCAACCAAAAUGGCAAGCCUCUGCAUGAAUAAAAGAUCUAGUAAAAGCUUUACAUGUUGAGGACACCACAGAAAUGAAACUCUUCUCUGAAAUUCAUGUUGGAAAUGCACUUCAUCAUCUCAUUACCCGUAUUUCCAUUCUGCCUCGAUGAAUGGGCCGACCCGGAGGCUCACAUAGAGGCCUUGAGCAUGGAUUUCUCUGAUGAACUUCACAAGAUCGUAUCUUCCUUCGAAGUUGUACUGGGAGCACCCACCUGACCUUGGAUAGGCUCAUGGACAUUCCAGAAGACGUAUGUCUGUAUGACAUCCAGGCCACCUUCCCUGGCGCUCUCUAUGAGUCUUGGCCACAUCUGCUAAUUGGAUUGUACAUUAGUUUGAAGGAAAGGAACUGAGGUUUUCUGCUUCAUACAGUAUGAUUCGUGGCGCAUGCUUGAUUGCUUGAUUGCUUACUGUAUGUAUGUAUGUAUGUAUUGACUGAACUAAUUUGAUUGCUGGGUGAAACUUUAACUGAACUAAUCUGUUUAUCUAGUGAGUUAGAUUUUCUGCUGUAGUGUACUAGCAAUCAAGAAUUUACUUUAAUUAAAAAAUGCUUGAAAUGAUGUCUUAUUUGGGGUUGACAGUUACGGCAGCAUUUACCUGUCACUCUUCCAUGUUGGAUGAAAAAGUGAGACGCACUGA